GCGCUGCAGCGCUGGUUUCCUGCCGUGGCUGCGGAGCAAGGCGGGGGCCGACAUCUCCUCGGUGCUGCGCGUCGGAACCUCGCCCCUCGGAAGGUCCCUGUUCGCUUCACAGCCCAUACAGAAGGGGGACUGUAUGAUGCAAGUGCCUCACAGUGUUAUGCUUACUGAUGACAAACUCCCCGAGGAGGUCCGCAGGCUACUCGACGGUGUUGCUGGCGACACAACCAAGACUGCGGUGCUCCUCAUGAUGGAGCAGCACCUUGGAGAUGAAUCAGGAUGGGCGCCGUAUGUUAGUUCCCUUCCAAGCAGACGUCAGAUGCAUAACAUGGUAUGAGCAGGCGAUCAACAUGUUACUGUCACGUCACGUCAGGGCUUCAGCUAGCAGCAAAUAGAUAGGAAAGAGAAUCAAUCUAUGUCCUUUUAAUUAAAUAGGAUCUUAUCUCUAGAGUUUGUUUCCAUGUUUGUUAGGAUUCUGGCCUGAAACCGCAAGUCAUGUAUGUUGGCUAUAUAAUGCCAACCUGUAGCUCAUUAAGAGCAGACAAGAAAUAAAUCAAUCUAUUAUCUCCCCACGUUACCUCUUCCUCUGCCUCUGUUGUGCGACAACCCCUCCACGGCUGGAGUCGCGCUACAGAGGUCCAGGGGCAUUUCAGUUUUGUAA